CCUACGGGUGGCAGCAGUGGGGAAUAUUGCACAAUGGGGGAAACCCUGAUGCAGCGACGCCGCGUGAGGGAAGAAGUAUUUCGGUAUGUAAAACUCUAUCAGCAGGGAAGAAAAUGACGUUACCUGACUAAGAAGCCCCGGCUAACUACGUGCCAGCAGCCGCGGUAAUACGGAGGGGGCAAGCGUUAUCCGGAUUUACUGGGUGUAAAGGGAGCGUAGACGGCCAGACAAGUCAGAAGUGAAAGCCCCGGGCUCAACCCGGGGACUGCUUUUGAAACUGGCGGGCUGGAGUGCAGGAGAGGUAAGCGGAAUUCGUAGUGUAGCGGUGAAAUGCUUAGAUAUGAGGAGGAACACCAGUGGCGAAGGCGGCUUACUGGAGUGUAACUGACGCUGAGGCUCGAAAGCGUGGGUAGCAAACAGGAUUAGAUACCCCGGUAGUC
rnacentral:rRNA from 1 species